rnacentral:rRNA from 1 species
CGUUAUGCCCUCGAGGCCUGUAAUUAUUGGUUUUAACCGAUAGAACUCAUACGCGGGCUCCAUCUAUCCUGAGGUAAACUUCAGAGGGAACCAACUACUAGAUGGUUUGAUUAGUUUUUCACCCCUACACCCAAUUCAGACGAAUGAUUUGCACGUCAGUAUUGCUGCGGGCCUCCACCAGAGUUUUCUCUGGCUUUGCCCCGCUCAGGCAUAGUUUAGCAUCUUUCGGGUCCCGACAGUUAUGCUCACACUUGAACUCUUCUCAAAAGAUUAAGGUCUGUCGGCAGUGCACCCCUCGGGGGGAUACCACCAAUCAGCUCCUUACACCUUACGGGCUCACUCGCCCAUUGACUCGCACACAUGUCAGACUCCUUGGUUUGUGUUUCAAGACGGGUCGAAUUGGGAGCCCACAGGCCAAAGUCUGAAGUGCGUAGAUACCGAAGCAUGCCAAAGGCACAUGCUGCCUGCCACAAUUGAGAAGACAGCAUUCCACGAGCGUAUCAAAAGCCCAGGUUUUAGCCGCCCCCCCAAUCCACGCUGGUCCACUCCCCAAGUCGAUCAGUGGACCGGCUCAUUGUCGUUCCACAUCUGACUGGGGCGCAUCGCUGGCCCAUAUCUGUUUCCCUCCCAAUAAUUUCAAGCACUCUUUGACUCUCUUUUCAAGUCCUUUUCAUCUUUCCCUCGAGGUACUUGUUUACUAUUGGUUUCUCACCCGUAUUUAACCUUGGACAGAAUUCACCGCCCGAUUUAGGCUGCAUUCCCAAACAACCCGCGGUUGCUUUGUCGAGCUGUUCCAUGGAAUUAAGAGCUCCUAGUGGACCAUUUUUGGUAAGCAGAACUGGCGAUGCGGGAUGAACUGGAAGUCGGGUUACGGUACCAAACUGCGCGUUAACCUAGAUCCUACAAAGGGUGUUGGUCGAUUAAGACAGCAGGACGGUGGUCAUGGAAGUCAAAAUCUUCUAAGGAGUGUGUAACAACUCACCUGCCGAUUAAACUAGCCCUAAAAAUGGAUGGUCCUUAAGCGCGUGACCUACACCCUACUAUCGGGGAAAGUUCCAGGCCUCGAUGAGUAGGAGGGUGCGACGGUCACUACAAAACCUUGGGCACGAGCCCGGGAAGAGCAGCCAUCGAUGCAGAUAUUAGUGGUAGUAGCAAAUAUUUAAAUAAGAACUUUGAAGGCCAAAGAGGGGAAAGGUCCCAUGUGAACGACACUUGCACAUGGAUUAGUCGAUCCUAAGGGUCGGGGAAACCCCAAUAGAUAGCGCAUUUAUCGCGUACUUUGAAAAGGAAUUGGGUUAAAAUUACUGGACCGAGAUGUGGCGGUCGACAGCAACGUUAGGAAGUCCAGAGACAUCGGUGGGAGCCUCGGGAAGAGUUAUCUUUUCUGUUUAACAGCCUGCCCACACUGGAAUUGGCUCGAUCAGAGGUAGGGUCCAGCGGUUGGAAGAGCACCGCACGUCACAUGGUGUCCAAUGCACUAUUGGUAGCCCUUGACAAUCCAGAGGACCGGAUGCCAUCCAUGCCCAAUCGUACUCAUAACCACAUCAGGACUCCAAGCGGAACAACCUCUGGUCGAUGGAAUAAUAUAGGUAAGGGAAGUCGGCAAAAUGGACGCAUAACUUCUGGAAAAGGAUUGGCACUGAGGGCUAGGCACGGGGUCCCAGUCCCGAACCCUUCGGCUAUUGGUGACUACUUGAGCUACUCCCGCAGUGAGAGCGGGUCGCCGUAUGCCGGUCAGGGGACGGACUGGGAACGAUUCCUUCGGGGGCCUUCCCCGUGCGUCGAAUAGCCAACUUAGAACUGGUACGUACAAGGGGAAUCUGACUAUUUAAUUAAAAAAAAGCAUUGAAAUGGUCCCAACGAAUGUUCACACAUUGUGAUUUCUGCCCAGUGCACUAAAUGUCAAAGUGAAGAAAUUUAACCAAGCGUGGGUAAACGGCGGUUGUAACUAUGACUCUCUUAAGGUAGCCAAAUGCCUCUUCAUCUAAUUAGUGACAUGCAUGAAUGGAUUAACGAGAUUCCCACUAUCCCUGUCUACUAUCCAGCAAAACCACAACUAAGGGAACGGGCUUGGCAGAAUCAGCGGGGAAAGAAGACCCUCUUGAGCUUGACUCUACUCCGACUUUGCAAAAUAACUUGAGAGGUGUAGUAUAUGUGGGAGCCAAAAGGAGAAAGUGAAAUACCACUACUUUAACAAUAUUUUACUUAUUCUGUGAAUCAAAAGUGGGGCAUUGCCCCUCUUUUUGGACCCAAGGCUCACUCUGCUGGCCUAUCUUUGCGGAAGACAUUGUCAGGUGGGGAGUUUGGCUGGGGCAGCAUAUCUGUUAAAAGAAAACUCAAGAGUCCUAAGAUGAGCUCAACGAGAACAGAAAUAUUGUGUGGAACAGAAGGGUAAAAGCUCUUUUGAUUCUAAUUUCCAGUACGAAUACAAACCAUGAAAGCGUAGCCUAACGAUUCUUUAGACCUUCGAAAUUCAAAGCUAGAGGUGUCAGAAAAGUGUUACCACAGGGAUAACUGUCCUGUUGUAGCCAAGUGUUCAUAGCGACGUUACAUUUUCAUCCUUCGAUGUCGACUCUUCCUAUCUUUGUGAAGUAGAAUUCACCAAGUGUUGCACUGUUCACCCACCAAUAAGGAACAUGAGCUGGGUUUAGACCAUUGUGAGACAGGUUAGUUUUACCCUACUUAUGACAGUGUCGCAGUAGUAAUUCAACCUAGUACGAGAGGAAACGUUGAUUCACACAAUUUGUCAUCGUGCUUGGUUGAAAAGCCAGUGGCACAAAUCUACCGUGUCCUGGAUUAUGACUGAACAUCUCUAAGUUAAAAUUCUAGCUAGAAGCGAUGCAUGCGCCCACUGUCUGCUUGCUGACCCACAGUAGGGGCCUCGACCCCCAAGGGCACGUCUCGUUUUCUCAGCCACCACGGAGGAAGAAUCGCGGUGGCC